UCACCUGAGGUCAGGAGUUUGAGACCAGCCUGGCCAACAUGGUCAAGCAAAAAUCCUUAAGUGCCCCAUACACCUCAUCUGUUGCAAAUCAUCUCCCCCUGGGUUUGAAGACAAGGAAGCCAGCUGGAAUUUGAUCAAAACUAAAGGCCUUGAAGUCGUAAAGAGAAUUGUAAACAAGAAUUUAAUCUUUGAGAUGGUUAUCAUCAGUACCUAAAAUAGUGUUCUUUGUGGAUUAUCUAACGUUAUUACUGCAAAAUUCAUGUGGCUGGAGAAAAGGUGGUUGGUGUCUAAUGUCAGAAGCCUCACUAGCAAAUAAGGAACAGUAGCGGCAGCUGCAGUAAAUCUAGCUCUCCCCGCUGCUUCCUCUCCUGGAGCCAGCCGGCUAGAACCAGCCCAACAACAGGCCCAGCAGCAGUCUUCACAGUAGAAUAGCUAAACACUGAUCUAGCCUUUCUUCACCCACACCCCUCCUCCUCUUUCCUGCUCCAUCUCAGCACAUUAAACUGAGCUGUCUCUCUAACUAUGCUAAGAAAAUGCAGAUGCCAGACACAAAGGGCGGAAAGACCAUACAUUGGCUGAAUCACAGAAGAGAAAGAAUGGGUGGAAAGAAAAGACAGUCUUGGCAAGAGACAUGAUGUAGGUUUCCCCCUCCUUCUUUAAUUGUAUCUGGUUAAGAUUUUUUUUUCCCCUCUACUACAUAGAAAUUACUUGGGAGGCUCGUUUAAAAUGCAGACUCCUUCAUCUCUGCCUCUGACCUGAAUCAGCCUGUAUACCUGCAUUUCUUGAGCAACUCAAAGCAUCUAAAAUCAGCCACAUAUCUGCAUUUGGAAUAAGCAUACUAAAGGAUCCUUAGACACAUGAAAGUUUGAGCACAGUGUCUUAGAGACCAAAAUAGCCAUUUAUAAAAUGCUCUUUAUUUAAAGCUUUCGACAUGUAUAAACUCAUGUAGCCUCAGGUAACAUUCUGAGAGUAAAUAUUGUUAGUCCUCUCUGAUUGAAGAGAAAAUGAGGCAGUGAAAUCAAAUCAUUGGCGGCAAUUUGCUGAUCCUGAUGUCCUGUCUUUGGGAGGAUCUUAGAAGUAUAACAACCCGGGAAGAAUUGAAGAAUCAAAAAUGGAAUAAGAAAAUGUGGAAAAGCACAUCAGAUGUGUUCUCAUCUAAAGAAUAGAGGAAGUAUCAAGUAUUAAAGGAAAAACAACAACAACAAAAAACUUGAUGCAGGGAAACAGGACUGAAUUGGUAGAUAAUGCUUCCAUGCAGUUCAACCACAGAAAUGAUGAUAUGCAAACCACAUAAGGGCUAUGUGCAUCUGUCACACAUCUAUGUCACCAGCAGCACCUUGAAUGAUUAGUAAACAUUUACAGAUUAAAUGAAUGAAUGAAGUCUG